GAUGAACGCUGGCGGCGUGCCUAAUACAUGCAAGUCGAGCGAACAGACGAGGAGCUUGCUCCUCUGACGUUAGCGGCGGACGGGUGAGUAACACGUGGAUAACCUACCUAUAAGACUGGGAUAACUUCGGGAAACCGGAGCUAAUACCGGAUAAUAUAUUGAACCGCAUGGUUCAAUAGUGAAAGACGGUUUUGCUGUCACUUAUAGAUGGAUCCGCGCCGCAUUAGCUAGUUGGUAAGGUAACAGCUUACCAAGGCAACGAUGCGUAGCCGACCUGAGAGGGUGAUCAGCCACACUGGAACUGAGACACGGUCCAGACUCCUACGGGAGGCAGCGGUGGGGAAUCUUCGGCAAUGGGCGAAAGCCUGACGGAGCAACGCCGCGUGAGUGAUGAAGGUCUUCGGAUCGUAAAGCUCUGUUAUUAGGGAAGAACAAAUGUGUAAGUAACUAUGGACGUCUUGACGGUACCUAAUCAGAAAGCCACGGCUAACUACGUG
rnacentral:rRNA from 1 species